CCUACGGGUGGCAGCAGUGAGGAAUAUUGGUCAAUGGACGAGAGUCUGAAGCAGCCAAGUAGCGUGAAGGAUGACUGCCCUAUGGGUUGUAAACUUCUUUUAUAUGGGAGUAAAAUAUGCCACGUGUGGGAGUUUGUAUGUACCAUAUGAAUAAGGAUGGGCUAACUCCGUGCCAGCAGCCGCGGUAAUCCGGAGGAGCCGAGCGUUAUCCGGAUUUAUUGGGUUUAAAGGGAGCGUAGGUGGAUUGUUAAGUCAGUUGUGAAGGUUUGCGGCUCAACCGUAAAAUUGCAGUUGAAACUGGACGUCUUGAGUACAGUAGAGGUGGGUGGAAUUCGUGGUGUAGCGGUGAAAUGCUUAGAUAUCACGAAGAACUCCGAUGGCGAAGGCAGCUCACUGGACUGCAACUGACACGGAGGCUCGAAAGUGUGGGUAUCAAACAGGAUUAGAUACCCGAGUAGUC
rnacentral:rRNA from 1 species